rnacentral:rRNA from 1 species
UCCUACGGGAGGCAGCAGUGGGGAAUAUUGCGCAAUGAGCGAAAGCUUGACGCAGCGACACCGCGUGCGGGAUGAAGGCCUUAGGGUUGUAAACCGCUUUCGGCAGGGACGAAGCGAAAGUGACGGUACCUGCAGAAGAAGGUCCGGCUAACUACGUGCCAGCAGCCGCGGUA